ensembl:lncRNA
UGAGGAGGAAAGCUGCAGAGCUUCCUUCUCAGUUUACCCACAGCUCCCACUGAGCCAACACUCACCGGGCUACACACGGACACUAUCACAAAAUGGAACCAGGAACGGAUGAAUCUCCCGAAAACCUAUGGAGAUUAAAAUCUCUUUUUGAGGGAGAAUUUGCCAAGACGACCACGUGAAACCAAAUGGUAUCACAGAGGAAGAUCCCUGAUGACUAACUGCUGUGUGCCAAGGUGGUGUCUGGGGAGGGGCAAGGCUCAGUUGAGUGGUUCACCAGCAUCGGAAACGAGCAAACUGUUUCGUUUGUGCUGACCCGUGAGGAGUUCACAGACAAACUGGGGCCGAUGUGCAGGGGAGUUAUGAAAAGAUUUCAGUUGGCCAAUCAACCUGUCCCCAAAAUCCUGUACGUGGACCGUGGGUGUUGCCGAGCACAGGACCCAACAGCAGUGGAGACUUUGUUUCAGCCUGGGGUGGACUGUGGGUUGGUUGUGUGUCUGGGCAUCUUCCACUGGAUCCACUGGUUUGAGUCCCACUCCAAGUACGCUGCUUUUAAAUCUGCGCUCGCCUGAGCAGUGCUGGCCUACAAUCACAGUCAGUCAGAGCUAAAAAUCCAGCAGUGCUGCAGUCUGCCUCUGAUAAUGACGUUGUCAGGAGCAGCUGAAGCAUCAUGUGCAGAGGGUGACACUCGGGGCUCAGGAAACAUUUCAGCUCAUCCACCUGAUGAGUAGCUUAAAGAUCCUGCUGGAUUGGAUGAGAGUGGAGUGAGCCUCUUCAGAACACCUGAGGCCAUUGAUGGGAUGUGGGCAGCACAACAGAGACAUCUGCAGUGCAUCCAGGAUCCACCAGACAUUAACAUGUACAAGGUGGCACAAACCAACCAUCAACAACAUGGAUGUGUCCUCCUCCAAGUGCCUGCAUGUGUAACAGGUGUGUUAGACAAACCAUUCAUUUCAUCCAAACCCCCCCCCCCCCUUGUUUUUGUUUGCAUCUUUACUUAAUUUUCUUUUGUUCCUUUUAUCAUUAUUAUUGUGUAUUGAUUCUUUUUUGAGGAGCUUUAUUUUAUUUUGACUUUGUGACUUUUACUCGUGAUGUUACCUUGACUUUUACCCUUUGCCACAUCACUUCCUCUCUGUUUGUGCAUCUUUCCUUUGACGGUCCGUGAUCCCGUUGGGAGUAGAGCGACUAUUGAGAAACCGCAUUGUUGCUGUAUCUAACACACAUUUCAUUUAGACCAGAAAAUAAAUUGGUUGGCUGUAACGACGUGCUCUUCUGUUACUCCUUCCCCACACAUACAACGCAGAGAGAGCUGGGCCAGACCAGCCACACAUGGAAACAUCAGCCUGGAAGGAUUCCACAAGACUUUGUCAAGCAGGAUUCCAGGUCCUCACUGUGCAGCACAGCCCUAUCAGGUUUACCUGAUCAGUGGCAUCGUCCAGUGGAACGCUGACAGGAGCUCUGAUGUGGUGUUUAGGGGCAGAGGAUGGUGUUACUGGAACUACUCUGCACCGCUGAUCAACCACCUCAACACCUCCUGUCAGCAGCUGUCUGGGGAGACUGGAGGAGAAUUUCAGGAUCCCUGCUGUUGUCUCCUCCAACGAGCUGCUUGAGUAUGGGGGAAUCCAGACCCUUCUCUCUUCAGGACAUCAUCAACGAUGGACCUGGUCCCGAGCAGGAGGAGGUUCAGUCUGGGCAGCCUGAUCCAGACGAGGCUGAUGACGGGGAGGAACAUGAGCUGGAUGCUGACCUGCCCCACAUCACGCUUAACUAGUGAGGAAACUAUCACCAGGCCUGCAUCAUCCCUCGCUGUAUCCACAGCAGCCCAAAAGAUUGCUGGCGUCUCUGGGAUUACUGGCCCCUCCAGACAGCCCAUCCUGCUUGCUUCAUCAGACCCUGCAACUGCAGCUCACACUGCUGGCACACCUGUGACUACUUCUUCGUGCUGGACAAGAGCAACGCUGUACAAGCAGAAGCUGAAGGGCUACCAGGGUGCAAAAUCUGCCAGCAUGUACAGUCUGUGGCCAGCCAACACAGGGACAUAGAAAGUAGAAAAAAGGCUUUCUGCCCAGUAACAAUGAUGUCCCCGUUUAAAGGUCUGAGCAACAGAGUGUUUACCAGCUACGAGCACUUCACCUCUGCUGUUGACAGUUUGAAUUGUAAAUAUGCUGUAAAUACGCAAGGUUGCUUUGUACAUUUUGUAUGUUUGGGGCACUGAAUUGUAAAUAUCUGUAAAUAUGUUAGAGUUGCUUUUUAUAUGCUGUGAUUGAUUUAGAAAUACAUUAGGUUUGCUUUGUAUAUACUGUAAAUAAUUUUCAUUAGUCUGAGUUUUUAUUUAGUUUUUUACACUUAAAUUGUCUAAAAUCCUGUGUACUGUAUUAUUUUUAUUCAAUAAAGUGAUCUGGAGGAUGGAACUGUGAUCUGUAAAUAGUUGCAUCUUACUGACAAAUUGUAAAUAUUUUUUAUUUUCAUGUCCUUUAAUUCUGAAUCAUGUUCAAUGAUACUUUGUCGACACUAGUGCUGUGGUUUUUCCAUGUUCCUUAGUUCAUGCACUUGAUGUAUUAAAGGGGUCAGUGCUACAGUAACAGUGAGUUGUGGAAUAUCAAUUUAUGAAUGCAAAAAUGGGUAAAUUAAAAUGGAGAACACAGGUGGAC